rnacentral:SRP_RNA from 1 species
UAGGCUCGAUUGGGGAGAAUAGUCAUCUUCUUGUAACUUCUGACUAUAUGGAAGGAUUUAAACCUAUUUGAGGAGAAACAUUGUCUGUUAAGCUUUGCUUUGGACGUUGAUGUUCUGUCCUAUUUGAUCGUUAUGAUUGUGAAUUUGGUCAGAUCGGGAACGAAGCAGCCAUAAGCUAUUAUAUUGAUGCUUAUAGGGUCGCGGAACGGAGAAAGGAGUAAGGGCACUUGCAGGUUUUGUUUUUUCGAAGAUAGGGUGCUUA